UGAUAGAGGUUGCGUGCUUUAAGAGUAGUUUUUACGGAUGUGGCAGAGACAGUGGAUGGAAAAUGAAAGGAAAGGACGCCGAAGGAGUAUAUUUGCUGCAGAUAUGUUCCUGGGCAUAAGGUAAAGAGCCUUAUGACUGUCAUCUUAAGCUGUAAAGCAGAAAGAUGGGGCGCUAUCGGA
rnacentral:ncRNA from 1 species